rnacentral:rRNA from 1 species
GAGUUUGAUCAUGGCUCAGGAUGAACGCUGGCUACAGGCUUAACACAUGCAAGUCGAGGGGAAACGACGGGGAAGCUUGCUUCCCCGGGCGUCGACCGGCGCACGGGUGAGUAACGCGUAUCCAACCUGCCUCUGACUGAGGGAUAACCCGUCGAAAGUCGGCCUAAUACCUCAUGGCAUCGUCUGCGGGCAUCCAACGACGAUUAAAGAUUUCAUCGGUCAGGGAUGGGGAUGCGUCUGAUUAGCUUGUUGGCGGGGUAACGGCCCACCAAGGCUACGAUCAGUAGGGGUUCUGAGAGGAAGGUCCCCCACAUUGGAACUGAGACACGGUCCAAACUCCUACGGGAGGCAGCAGUGAGGAAUAUUGGUCAAUGGGCGAGAGCCUGAACCAGCCAAGUAGCGUGCAGGAUGACGGCCCUAUGGGUUGUAAACUGCUUUUAUGCGGGGAUAAAGUGAGGGACGUGUCCUUCAUUGCAGGUACCGCAUGAAUAAGGACCGGCUAAUUCCGUGCCAGCAGCCGCGGUAAUACGGAAGGUCCGGGCGUUAUCCGGAUUUAUUGGGUUUAAAGGGAGCGUAGGCCGUGGAUUAAGCGUGUUGUGAAAUGCAGGUGCUCAACGUCUGCACUGCAGCGCGAACUGGUCCACUUGAGUGUGCGCAACGCAGGCGGAAUUCGUCGUGUAGCGGUGAAAUGCUUAGAUAUGACGAAGAACUCCGAUUGCGAAGGCAGCUUGCGGGAGCACAACUGACGCUGAAGCUCGAAAGUGCGGGUAUCGAACAGGAUUAGAUACCCUGGUAGUCCGCACGGUAAACGAUGGAUGCCCGUUGUCAGGCUGUUUCAGCCUGGUGACCAAGCGAAAGCAUUAAGCAUCCCACCUGGGGAGUACGCCGGCAACGGUGAAACUCAAAGGAAUUGACGGGGGCCCGCACAAGCGGAGGAACAUGUGGUUUAAUUCGAUGAUACGCGAGGAACCUUACCCGGGCUUGAAUUGCAGACGAAGGCUUCAGAGAUGAAGCGGCCCUUCGGGGCGUCUGUGAAGGUGCUGCAUGGUUGUCGUCAGCUCGUGCCGUGAGGUGUCGGCUUAAGUGCCAUAACGAGCGCAACCCCUUUCUUCAGUUGCCAUCAGGUGAUGCUGGGCACUCUGUAGACACUGCCACCGCAAGGUGUGAGGAAGGUGGGGAUGACGUCAAAUCAGCACGGCCCUUACGUCCGGGGCUACACACGUGUUACGAAUGGCCGGUACAGAGAGUUGAUUUUGUGCAAACACGAUCUAAUCCUUAAAUCCGGUCCCGGUUCGGACUGGGGUCUGCGAACCCGGACCCCGCGAAAGCUGGAUUCGCUAGUGAAUCGCGCGUUCGAGCCGUGGCGCGGUGAAAUGACGUUUCCCGGGCCUUGUGAGCACCGCCC